AGCGAACGCUGGCGGCAGGCUUAACACAUGCAAGUCGAGCGGGCACUUUCGGGUGUCAGCGGCGGACGGGUGAGUAACGCGUGGGAACGUGCCCUCUGGUUCGGAAUAACUCAGGGAAACUUGAGCUAAUACCGGAUACGCCCUUUUGGGGAAAGGCUUGCUGCCGGAGGAUCGGCCCGCGUCUGAUUAUCUAGAUGGUGAGGUAACGGCGCACCAAGGCGACGAUCAGUAGCUGGUCUGAGAGGAUGAUCAGCCACACUGGGACUGAGACACGGCCCAGACUCCUACGGGAGGCAGCAGUGGGGAAUAUUGGACAAUGGGCGCAAGACUGAUCCAGCCAUGCCGCGUGAGUGAUGAAGGCCUUAGGGUUGUAAAGCUCUUUUAUCCGGGACGAUAAUGACGGUACCGGAGGAAUAAGCCCCGGCUAACUUCGUG
rnacentral:rRNA from 1 species